rnacentral:rRNA from 1 species
UACGUAGGGGGCAAGCGUUGUCCGGAUUUAUUGGGCGUAAAGAGCGUGUAGGCGGUUUGGUAGGUCCGCUGUGAAAACUCGAGGCUCAACCUCGAGACGCCGGUGGAAACCAUCAGGCUAGAGUCCGGAAGAGGAGAGUGGAAUUCCUGGUGUAGCGGUGAAAUGCGCAGAUAUCAGGAAGAACACCCGUGGCUAAGGCGGCUCUCUAGUACGGUACUGGACGCUGAGACGCGAAAAGCCGUGGGGAGCGAACAGG